rnacentral:lncRNA from 1 species
GGAGUAAUAAACAAUUGCAAAUACAUAAACUUUUUUAUUACACACACUGAUAUUUAUAUAGUAUACACGUAAAAUCUAUUUACACUAAGACUUCCUCUACAAGAAUUCACAGAAACGAUAUAUCAUACUGCAGGUACUGUUAUAUACAGAUAUGUAAUACAAAUAUUUAAUCAAAGCAACAUCUCAAAUAUAGCAUUUGGUUACAAAGAACAGCGAUUUUUAACACUGUUCAAUAUACAAAAUAUAAUAUCUUAAUUGCGCUGAGGUAGAAUUAAACACCAAAUUUUCUGGCUCAAAAGUAUUGUAUAAAAAAUGUAUUACAAUGAAAUUCAAAACAGUGUGGCUGUGGCCAUUGAUUGACACAUUAAAUUCAUCCAUUGACUGGGAUAAUUUACGUGAACUUGUGUCUGUAACGACCACUGUUCACGACGUACCUAAGAUAGACAUUUAAACUGUGGGGUCACCAAAGGUUUC